rnacentral:sRNA from 1 species
AUCGCUGCCAAUCUAUCGCUGCCAAUCUAUCGCUGCCAACCUAUCUACUGCAGUGAAUCUAUCUAUCACUAUCAUUACUAGUUCAAAAUAGAACUAGAGCAUAAAUACACUAAACUUCUUUUGAUAGAUAAUGAUUUUUGGUAAUGCUCAUAGCAUUAUAUCAUCUAUAUAGGGUAAAUCAUGGUCCCAUUUGGUCCCAUUUUAACAAAAUGGGACCAAAUGGGACCAGAAUCAGUAAUUUAUAAGAAGAAC